rnacentral:rRNA from 1 species
UAGAGCGUUGGAACCACCUGAUCCCUUCCCGAACUCAGAAGUGAAACGACGCAUCGCCGAUGGUAGUGUGGGGUCUCCCCAUGUGAGAGUAGGUCAUCGUCAAGC